AACGAACGCUGGCGGCAUGCCUAACACAUGCAAGUCGAACGAUUGCCUUCGGGUGAUAGUGGCGCACGGGUGUGUAACGCGUGGGAAUCUGCCCUUAGGUUCGGAAUAACAGCUGGAAACGGCUGCUAAUACCGGAUGAUAUCGCGAGAUCAAAGAUUUAUCGCCUGAGGAUGAGCCCGCGUUGGAUUAGGUAGUUGGUGGGGUAAAGGCCUACCAAGCCGACGAUCCAUAGCUGGUCUGAGAGGAUGAUCAGCCACACUGGGACUGAGACACGGCCCAGACUCCUACGGGAGGCAGCAGUGGGGAAUAUUGGACAAUGGGCGCAAGCCUGAUCCAGCAAUGCCGCGUGAGUGAUGAAGGCCCUAGGGUUGUAAAGCUCUUUUACCCGGGAAGAUAAUGACUGUACCGGGAGAAUAAGCCCCGGCUAACUCCGUG
rnacentral:rRNA from 1 species